rnacentral:rRNA from 1 species
CGUACGGGGACAACAUUCCGAAAGGGAUGCUAAUACCGGAUGUGACGCUCCUAUCGCAUGACGGGAGCGUGAAAGAUGGCCUCUACAUGUAAGCUAUCGCUAAAGGAUGGGCCUGCGUCUGAUUAGCUAGUUGGUAGUGUAACGGACAACCAAGGCGAUGAUCAGUAGCCGGUCUGAGAGGAUGAACGGCCACAUUGGGACUGAGACACGGCCCAA